rnacentral:tRNA from 1 species
GCCCGGGUGGCGAAAUUGGUAGACGCACCAUCUUGAGGGGGUGGCGCCUUACGGGUGUAGCGGUUCGAAUCCGCUUCCGGGCA